rnacentral:tRNA from 1 species
GGUGGAUUCGUCUAGCGGCUAGGACACAUGCCUCUCACGCAUGCAACACGGGUUCGAUUCCCGUAUCCACUA